GUGGGGAAUCUUGCGCAAUGGGCGAAAGCCUGACGCAGCAACGCCGCGUGCGGGAUGAAGGCCUUCGGGUUGUAAACCGCUUUCAGCAGGGACGAAAAUGACGGUACCUGCAGAAGAAGCUCCGGCUAACUACGUGCCAGCAGCCGCGGUAAUACGUAGGGAGCAAGCGUUGUCCGGAUUUAUUGGGCGUAAAGAGCUCGUAGGCGGUUUCGUAAGUCGAGUGUGAAAAAUCUGGGCUUAACCCAGUGGAGCACUCGAUACUGCGAUGACUUGAGUCUGGGAGAGGAGUGGGGAAUUCCGGGUGUAGCGGUGAAAUGCGCAGAUAUCAGGAGGAACACCAACGGCGAAGGCAGCACUCUGGGCCAGUACUGACGCUGAGGAGCGAAAGCGUGGGGAGCAAACAGGAUUAGAUACCCUAGUAGUCC
rnacentral:rRNA from 1 species